AGAGUUUGAUCCUGGCUCAGGACGAACGCUGGCGGCGUGCCUAACACAUGCAAGUCGAACGGAGUUGAAAGGAGCUUGCUUUUUUCAACUCAGUGGCGGACGGGUGAGUAACGCGUGAGUAACCUGCCUUUCAGAGGGGGAUAACGUUCUGAAAAGAACGCUAAUACCGCAUAAGAUUGUAGUUUCGCAUGGAGCAGCAAUCAAAGGAGCAAUCCGCUGAAAGAUGGACUCGCGUCCGAUUAGAUAGUUGGCGGGGUAACGGCCCACCAAGGCGACGAUCGGUAGCCGGACUGAGAGGUUGAUCGGCCACAUUGGGACUGAGACACGGCCCAGACUCCUACGGGAGGCAGCAGUGAGGGAUAUUGGGCAAUGGGGGAAACCCUGACCCAGCAACGCCGCGUGAGGGAUGACGGUUUUCGGAUUGUAAACCUCUGUCCUCUGUGAAGAUAGUGACGGUAGCAGAGGAGGAAGCUCCGGCUAACUACGUGCCAGCAGCCGCGGUAAUACGUAGGGAGCAAGCGUUGUCCGGAUUUACUGGGUGUAAAGGGUGCGUAGGCGGAUUGGCAAGUCAGAAGUGAAAUCCAUGGGCUUAACCCAUGAACUGCUUUUGAAACUGUUAGUCUUGAGUGAAGUAGAGGUAGGCGGAAUUCCCGGUGUAGCGGUGAAAUGCGUAGAGAUCGGGAGGAACACCAGUGGCGAAGGCGGCCUACUGGGCUUUAACUGACGCUGAGGCACGAAAGUGUGGGUAGCAAACAGGAUUAGAUACCCUGGUAGUCCACACCGUAAACG
rnacentral:rRNA from 1 species